AUUGAACGCUGGCGGCAUGCCUUACACAUGCAAGUCGAACGGCAGCACGGGUGCUUGCACCUGGUGGCGAGUGGCGAACGGGUGAGUAAUACAUCGGAACAUGUCCUGUAGUGGGGGAUAGCCCGGCGAAAGCCGGAUUAAUACCGCAUACGAUCUACGGAUGAAAGCGGGGGACCUUCGGGCCUCGCGCUAUAGGGUUGGCCGAUGGCUGAUUAGCUAGUUGGUGGGGUAAAGGCCUACCAAGGCGACGAUCAGUAGCUGGUCUGAGAGGACGACCAGCCACACUGGGACUGAGACACGGCCCAGACUCCUACGGGAGGCAGCAGUGGGGAAUUUUGGACAAUGGGCGAAAGCCUGAUCCAGCGAUGCCGCGUGUGUGAAGAAGGCCUUCGGGUUGUAAAGCACUUUUGUCCGGAAAGAAAUCCUUGGCUCUAAUACAGUCGGGGGAUGACGGUACCGGAAGAAUAAGCACCGGCUAACUACGUGCCAGCAGCCGCGGUAAUACGUAGGGUGCGAGCGUUAAUCGGAAUUACUGGGCGUAAAGCGUGCGCAGGCGGUUUGCUAAGACCGAUGUGAAAUCCCCGGGCUCAACCUGGGAACUGCAUUGGUGACUGGCAGGCUAGAGUAUGGCAGAGGGGGGUAGAAUUCCACGUGUAGCAGUGAAAUGCGUAGAGAUGUGGAGGAAUACCGAUGGCGAAGGCAGCCCCCUGGGCCAAUACUGACGCUCAUGCACGAAAGCGUGGGGAGCAAACAGGAUUAGAUACCCUGGUAGUCCACGCCCUAAACGAUGUCAACUAGUUGUUGGGGAUUCAUUUCCUUAGUAACGUAGCUAACGCGUGAAGUUGACCGCCUGGGGAGUACGGUCGCAAGAUUAAAACUCAAAGGAAUUGACGGGGACCCGCACAAGCGGUGGAUGAUGUGGAUUAAUUCGAUGCAACGCGAAAAACCUUACCUACCCUUGACAUGGUCGGAAUCCCGCUGAGAGGUGGGAGUGCUCGAAAGAGAACCGGCGCACAGGUGCUGCAUGGCUGUCGUCAGCUCGUGUCGUGAGAUGUUGGGUUAAGUCCCGCAACGAGCGCAACCCUUGUCCUUAGUUGCUACGCAAGAGCACUCUAAGGAGACUGCCGGUGACAAACCGGAGGAAGGUGGGGAUGACGUCAAGUCCUCAUGGCCCUUAUGGGUAGGGCUUCACACGUCAUACAAUGGUCGGAACAGAGGGUUGCCAACCCGCGAGGGGGAGCUAAUCCCAGAAAACCGAUCGUAGUCCGGAUUGCACUCUGCAACUCGAGUGCAUGAAGCUGGAAUCGCUAGUAAUCGCGGAUCAGCAUGCCGCGGUGAAUGCGUUCCCGGGUCU
rnacentral:rRNA from 1 species